rnacentral:rRNA from 3 species
UGGUGGCGAUAGCGAAGAGGUCACACCCGUUCCCAUACCGAACACGGAAGUUAAGCUCUUUAGCGCCAAUGGUAGUUGGGACUUUGUCCCUGUGAGAGUAGGACGUUGCCA